GUUACUGGAGUACCACUGGCUGUCUCUUUGGAAAGCCUGACCGGGGUCGAUCUGUAGGCACUGCAGUAAUCCACGUCCAGAGCUGAAGCGCACGGCGCUUCCUUCUCCAUGGACAGUGUAGCCGGUGAAACGCAUGCAGUGUGUUGCCAUGGCAACAUGACGUCAGGAGCGGAAGGAGGCGUGACGGCCAGGAACGGGAUACAGGUGUGCGACGGUGAUGAUCGCGGGAACCUGCACAGCUGACCUCUCCAGGGACUCAACAGGAGGGCCAGAGGGAUGAAUGCCAACCAGUCUCUCAGGACCCCUCCACUGCCACCCUGGAAGAAAAAAAUUGUCAGUGGAAGGCAUUAACAGACACCUAGAACACCUAACAGAAUUCCUGGAGCGGUAACUGAAGCCAAGAUGAGGGAGACCUCUAUCUCAAACCAAAGACUGGGGGUGCUUAUUGAGACGCUAGCAAAAAGACCCUCCACAAUUAACCAACCAUCUGCAUGCCCUGGCCCACCUGAUCCCACCUCUGACAAGGGCAGGUGAGGGUGGGCCAGCAAGCCUGCCUGCCCCUUCUACAUCCUCAGCCUGCUGUGAAGCAUGUUUUCCACUAUGAACUUUUGCCAGAUCUUGACCUUCUUCUCUUUAGUAUUGACCUUGAAUCCAUGGAUCUUGCCAUUGCCUCAUUAUUCUGGAUGGCAUACUUUCUCUUUGUGAUGUGUGGCACUGGCACUUGUCUAUCAGCAAUGCCAUUUUCUGUUGAAUCAUGAAAGUUGUUUUCUGACUGUUGUCAUAUUGGAAUGUGUGCUUCAGAUUGUUUUCCCUGCACCAGAAGCAGCUGCAACUAAAACCUUUAUUUUCUUUAGAUUUUUAAGCCCUCUGCUUUACCCCUGCUUUACCAACAACUCAUGCAGAAACUGUAAGAGCCUAAUUCAGACCAGAUCGUAGCAGCAAAUUU